CAGGCGGUUUCUGGUGGAGGCAGAGAUCAGGGGAUUUCUGAGCAGGAGGGGACCUCAGAUCAGACAUGGGGGGGUUUCCUGUCUGCAGUCACACAGGGCAGAGCCCAGGGCUCCCUGCUCCAGUCCAUCCACGACCAGGGGCACUGUGCUCUUGGCCGUUUCCCCUCUUGGUCUGGGUUACACUGACCCAGUGUAGACCUGUGUUAAGAAGGCCUAACCACCAAGGAAGCAUGACCUGUGCUUGAGGUCUAGGAAGGGAGAAGGGAGCCACGACAGCAAGGAAAAUCCCUGCCUGCUGACACCAGUCCAGGGAGUGGGGAAGCAGAAAGGACUGAAAGGUCAACUCAUUACUUCAUGUCUUUCUUCAGCAAAUUGCUGAUGAAAUCCUUGGCAUCAUCAGAGAUCUCGUCGAACGCCUCAUCGUCGAAGUCCCAGGUGGCUGAGGACUUUCCUCAAAAUUCAUCGAACCUAUUUACCCAAGUGAAAUGAAAACCAACCAUCAUACAAACACCUGCAUGCAAAUAUUUAUAGUGGCUUUUCUUUGUAAUCGCCCCAAACUGGAAAAAAAAAAAAGUUACCCAAAUAUCCCUCAACUGGCAAAUGGAUGGACAAACUGUGGUGUAUCCUUACAAUGGAAUCCUACUCAGCUAUAAAGAGGAACCGACCACAGGUACGUGCAACAACGAGGAUCAAUUGCAAAUGUAUUAUGCUAAGAGAAGCCAGACUCCAAUGGCUAUAUACUGUCUAAUUCCAUUUAUAGGACAUUCUGGAAAAGGCAAAACCAUAGGGACAGAGGACAGAUUAGUGACUUGGGGUGGGGGCUGGUGUUGACGACCAAGGAGCAUGGGGAAGUAUUUUGAGGUGAUGAACCAUGUCUUGACUGUGGUGGUAAUUACUCGACUGUAUGGGUUUGCCAAGACUUGCAGAACUGUGUCCUAAAAAGGGUGAAUUGUACUGUAUGUAAAUUAUUCCCUCAUACAAAAAUAGGAAAAAAUGUCACUUAACCAAUGAGAUUUUCCCUGUCACCUAUAUCAAAUAGCAACCCUCUGCUCCCAACAUUCCCUAUCAUCCUUUUCCCACUUUAUUGUUCUCCCAUGGCACUUACCACCAUAUAAUGAACCACGUGUUUACUCGUUGAUUUACU